AAUUUAAAAUGAGUUUGCUACUAGCCUCAUCAAAUGAAAAAGUUGUUAAAAAUCUGGCAUUGUUUCUCCUCCAUGCCUUCCAGUUUAGAAAAUCUACAAUUGAAGGCAAAUAAGCAAUUAUGAAUGUAUUUUCCUUCUUUUCGCAACCAUGUACUGAUGUAUGAAAUAUUGUAUUAUUUUGAUGUUACUCCCCCUUCAAAAAGGGCAAUGGCCCAUUGAAUAAACUACUUAUGACUUAUGACUAUGGUGGGUGGACAAGAAGGAUGUGAAUGUCCUUACCACCCUACACAAGCCUCAGGUGGUCAAUGUGAAGACUCGAACUCAUGAGAAGAAGAAGCCAACACCUAUUGUUGACUACAACAAGUACAUGGGUGGGGUUGACCACAGUGACCAGAUGAUUGCCUACAACCCAUUCCACAAGAAGACAGUGAAAUGGUGGAGAAAGCUGUUUUUCCACUUUCUGACACUCACCUUGGUACAGGCUCACUGUACCAAAAGGUAAGGAAACAAAUUGGUAAGCCAAGUAUGCAGUUGGAUGAAUUUAUUACUUCUGUAGGUGACGAUCUGGUGACCAUACCAAAUCGAAGAAGUAACGAGGAACAGCCAGCACGAUCAGGAGCUGCAGUUCCUCAGACACCGGAUCACCUUCGCUUACAGGUGAAUUAUGAUGGUCAUAUUACUGCUCCCAUUAAAACUAGAAAAAAUUGUGUUGUUUGCUAUAGAAAGCUAGUUAAGGCAGGUACAGAUGCCAAGUUCCGGAGGGCUAGGUCUAAGCGCACUACCUAUGAGUGCAAAAAAGUGUAUGAAGCCCCUCUGUCUCUAUCCCUGCAUGCAGAUCUACCAUACAGUGAAGGAUUUCUAACCUCUGAAACUCAGAGUAAAUAAGUGUACAUGCUUUUAACAUUUUUUCCCAAGUGUUGCAGGUGCAUCUUCUGGAUGGAGGAGAUAAUACAGAGGUGGCCCUCCCCCAUGACACUGCUUAUGGCUCUUCAGUGUGCAGCUGCACAAUGCAUCUGGCAGCCUAUGUGAUGUUAGGGGGGAUGUCUAAAUGUACUUACACUUCAGGGAAAUGCAGCUGUAGUACUUUAUUUUUAGUCAGGUUACUUCGGGUGGUACUGGGUAAACAAUCUGACCAAGUGUUUAUGUAUUUACAUCACAUCUAGAAAGUAAUAGAUUUUCAUAUAAAUAAUAAAAAAAUGUUAAAUAAUUUGUUUUGAUAUUCCUGAUCUUUGCACAGUAUUUGUUUUGUUAAUUUUUGUGAUUACAAGACUUUGCAGGGCCUAAUCGUUACAACAUCUACAUCACGACUGUAACAACAAUUUUACAGCCAUGAAUUUCCAGAAUUCUGGCACCAUUUUAAUGCAUCAUUUUUGAAUUUCUAUGGACAAGAACAAUGUGUGUGCAUUUCUUCUUGGUUUUGAAACAUCAAACUGUGGUUCCUAAAAGCCUAACUUCUUGUUAGAUGACAUAACCUGUGUAAACAUGUGCCCGAAAAAACUUUUUAAAAACUUCACUUCAUAUACCCAAUUCUGUAUGGAUUACAAUAAAGUGAGUUCUCAUGCAAGUUUCAGGUAAGAUUGUUCCUUUUUUACACAUUUUGAUCUAUCAUUAACAGUUUGAAUUAUUCUUCUACUUCUUUUAGUUAUUUUCUUAAAAUUUUUUGAAAAACGUUAAAAAUCAUGCGUACCAGUGUGUCAAACUGCCUCUAGCUUUUCCGUCUUCAAUGAGUUAAUUAUGGCAGAACCGGUUAGAGAGGUAGCUUCCUAUGUAAGGGAGGGGGAACUGUUCGGUCUGAAGGAAGAAGCCCUUAAGAACUAUGUGCUGCGGUGUAUUGAGAGGCAGGAGAGGUACGAAGAAGGCUUAGCCAGAGAUAAAGAAGCAGAUAGGUAGUCAAAAAAGGGGACACUAGUGACCCCAUCUACCUCCAACACGUUCAUGAACUCAUUUCUGACUAUCCUAAAUUGUGCUCAGUUUUUACAGAUGGCUCCAAAAUUCCAAGUGGUGGCCCAGUCGCUGCGGCAGUAGUUCUGUCCUGCCAACCACAACGGGUUGUUUCAGUCUGACUGGCAGACGAAUGUUCUAUUUUCACAGCGGAACUCCAUGCCAUCUUGCUUACCUUGCAGCAUGCUCACCAAUCUUCGGAGCACAACGUUUUGAUAAUUUCAGACUCUUUCUGCACUUCAAGCCCUCAUUUCAAAUGAUUCUGACCACCCCCCUGUGCUUCAGAUUCAUAAAAUUCAUGCAGCACUUACUCAACGAAAUAAGGACAUUGUUUUUAUUUGGGCUCCUGGCCAUUCUGGUAUUCCAGGCAAUGUUCGAGCAGACCAGGCUGCCAAGGCUGCAUGUCAGUCCCCUGGUAAAAUACAGUCACUUAUCUCAUCCAACUGCAAAACUUUAUUUUCAACCUACAUUCUGACCUUAUGGCAAGACCACUGGAACACCUUAAGUCAAAAUAAAUUAUUCGCCACUCUUCCCUGUCUUUCCGACCGCCCACCUUUGUGCCACACUACAAGGCGGGAGGAGGUAGUUCUUACAAGACAUAAGGCCUAUUCUCACGCUGCAAUGUACCGCACUUGGCAGGGUUAGUAGGCCAUGGUAGGAUCUUUCCGAGUUUUGCACACGGCUGGGUGGGGGCUUACCAUCAAGGUUUUCACGGAUAGGACGCGAUUCUAUUUUCUUGCAGAGCAUGACCUACAUUACAUGGCUGUAGCCAAUCGGAAUGCUUGAACACAGUAGGCUCCCUUUUACCUCCAAAUUAGAAAAUGGCAAUGUGGACGGAGCAGAGGUGCAUGGAUUUGAUUGUAAUGUGGGAGAACUACCCGUGUCUGUUCGACACUUCCAGUGCGGACUAUGUAAACCGGGAUAAGGCCAAAAAUGCCUUCAUUGAAAUUGCUCGUGCUCUGGGCAAUGGAAUAACAGCAGUUAUCUGCAUACAAUGCACGCUGUAGAAGUGGUGCUUUUGCACAACAUGUGGCAGAGCCAACAUGGCGCUUCUGGAAGGCGUUGUGUUUCCUCAGACCCUUCAUAAAAUUGAAAGAUAGGACACACCUAUGCCACGCAAGGAUACCUCUUGCGAGGUGAACUACCACUAGGUUGCCCCUGGUGUAAGGGAAAUUUUAAUGUAUUACACCUUCUGAUUAUCUGUCUAGAGCUCCAGACCAUCCAACGACAGUUUUUUUACAGCAAAUUCUCUAUCUGUCUUAAGGCCUAUUCCCACGCUGCAAUGCUCUUGUACAAAAAACUCGCGCAGAGGCAGCUUAGCGCAAUGCGUCCUAUUCCCACGUAGCAAGGGCACACAAGUGUCUUGCGAACUGACGUCAUCCGCACAGUGCAUUGUGGGAAGUUAACAAUAUGGCAGGCAACAUCGACGACGAGAUACUUUUAGAAGCAACUGUGACUACGAUAGUUAUAUUACAUGAAGCGGAGAGAGAGAGAAGAAGAAAGGAAAAAAGAUGUGGGUGAUGGAGUGGGUAGCUCGAAGGAACCGAUUAGGAGCAUAUUCGUGUCUGCUAAAGGAAGAUUCACGGGAGUGCAGACGCUUCUUGCGAAUGUCGUCUUCCACGUUCAAUGAACUAAUUUAUUUAAUUGAACCUGCAAUUUGCAGACAAGACACGGUCAUGAGACAGUGUAUAAAAGCAGAGGAAAGACUGGCAGUGACCCUGCGUUACCUUGGUUCAGGUAUGCAUAUUUUUUAUUUUUUUUUUGCUGCUUGGGUUGGUGACGAGAAUGUUUAGUUAUGCACUACAGAUUGACAAAUUUUCAACACUGGAGGCUUAGAGAGUCCGAGAGAGAACCAAUCUUUUGAUGGAACAAUUUAAGCGCACCCAGAAUAUACAGCAAGCAAAGUCAGUCAUGACUGAACAAAAUAUACGGGAACAAUUAAUCUGAAUCAGUAUGCCAGUGCUUUAUAAAGAAUAAAAACAUACAACCACAAGUACUCAGGACAAGUCCAAAGAGUGUUUCUGUAUUUGUGUGAGUUAAAAAAUAUAAAAUCAUCCACUUUACUGUUUUUCUUUUAAUUUUAGAUCAGGGGAAGAAGAAGAGGAACUUACAGAAAAGGAUCAUCUGCUGUUAGAAAUUAUAGGAAUGAAAGAAAGUAUAGAAAACCCCUUUAGACCAUUGCAUUGGUUUUAUAGAUGGAACUUUCAGGCCAAUAACAAGACCUGGAUUGUUUCAAAAGGAGGUGUAUAAUGGACAUAAAAGACAACAUGCCUUGAAAUUUCAGUCAGUGAUGUUCCCAAAUGGCAUCAUUGGCCACUUGUUUGGGCCUGUAGAGGGGCGAAGACAUGACACUUUUCUCCCGACAGAAAGUGGUUUAAUGACCUUAUUGCAGAAUCACUGUCAUGAUGAUGAUGGUGCACCCUUUUAUCUAUAUGGUGAUCAGGCUUAUCCGCCAAGUCAGCACCUGAUUUCACCAUUUCGAGCCCCCUUGUCGUAUAUCGCUUUGGCCAUCCUCCUCAUAUCUGCCUGCUGCAGCCACCUGUGGUUCAGCUGAUGCAGACGAUGCUGGUGUGUAUCAUACAAAUAGUUCAAUGAACUAAUUUAUUUAAUCGAGCCUGCAAUUUGCAGACAAGACACGGCCAUGAGACAGUGUAUAAAAGCAGAGGAAAGACUGGCAGUGACCCUGCGUUACCUUGGUUCAGGUAUGCAUUUUUUUUUUUUUGCUGCUUGGGUUGGUGACGAGAAUGUUUAGUUAUAUGUACAGAAGGGUAGAAAGUGUGGAAAACUAAAUGCUUAUCUCAGAUAUAUCAGUAGUAAGAACCUUAGAAGGAAGCACACUUGGCAGUAACAGUUCAAAGAAAUGAAAAUUUAAGAGAGGAGAAAGGAUAAGCUUAAAGGGGAAAUGGUGUGGUGGAAAUUA
rnacentral:lncRNA from 1 species